rnacentral:rRNA from 1 species
AGGACGAACGCUGGCGGCGUGCUUAACACAUGCAAGUCGAGCGGAAAGGCCUUUCGGGGUACUCGAGCGGCGAACGGGUGAGUAACACGUGAGUAAUCUGCCCAUCGCUUCAGGAUAGCCAUCGGAAACGGUGAUUAAUACUGGAUAUGACUAUUCCUUCGCAUGGUUGGGGUGUGGUAAGUUUUUCGGCGGUGAUGUGCUCGCGGCCUAUCAGUCUUGGUUGGUGGGUAAGUGGCCUACCGAAGGUCUUGGACCGGGUAGCCGGUCCGUGGAGGAGGGUCGGACCGGCCACGACGUGGGACGUGACGACGACCGG